rnacentral:misc_RNA from 1 species
AUCAAGCACACAUAAAACUUAUUGUUCUUCACACUUAAUACAUCAAUUCUUAUCAGAAUUUCAAAUACAUAUGCUAUAGCAUCAUCAGGCACACAUAAAGCUCAUUGGCAAGUAAAGCCGCAACAAUAUUAUGAUUUCAACCCUCGAAAUUCAACUGCAUCCCUUGUCAACUAUCAAGGCAUCAUUCGCGAGCAACAAGGACUACCUGUUUGCCAACAUUUCGACCUGCAAAGAGGCCAAUAAGCGCUGACGGAGCCUUCUCGAUUCCUUCGACA